rnacentral:rRNA from 1 species
GAUGAACGCUGGCGGCGUGCCUAAUACAUGCAAGUCGAACGAGUUCUCGUUGAUGAUCGGUGCUUGCACCGAGAUUCAACAUGGAACGAGUGGCGGACGGGUGAGUAACACGUGGGUAACCUGCCCUUAAGUGGGGGAUAACAUUUGGAAACAGAUGCUAAUACCGCAUAGAUCCAAGAACCGCAUGGUUCUUGGCUGAAAGAUGGCGUAAGCUAUCGCUUUUGGAUGGACCCGCGGCGUAUUAGCUAGUUGGUGAGGUAAUGGCUCACCAAGGCGAUGAUACGUAGCCGAACUGAGAGGUUGAUCGGCCACAUUGGGACUGAGACACGGCCCAAACUCCUACGGGAGGCAGCAGUAGGGAAUCUUCCACAAUGGACGCAAGUCUGAUGGAGCAACGCCGCGUGAGUGAAGAAGGCUUUCGGGUCGUAAAACUCUGUUGUUGGAGAAGAAUGGUCGGCAGAGUAACUGUUGUCGGCGUGACGGUAUCCAACCAGAAAGCCACGGCUAACUACGUGCCAGCAGCCGUGGUAAUACGUAGGUGGCAAGCGUUAUCCGGAUUUAUUGGGCGUAAAGCGAGCGCAGGCGGUUUUUUAAGUCUGAUGUGAAAGCCCUCGGCUUAACCGAGGAAGCGCAUCGGAAACUGGGAAACUUGAGUGCAGAAGAGGACAGUGGAACUCCAUGUGUAGCGGUGAAAUGCGUAGAUAUAUGGAAGAACACCAGUGGCGAAGGCGGCUGUCUGGUCUGUAACUGACGCUGAGGCUCGAAAGCAUGGGUAGCGAACAGGAUUAGAUACCCUGGUAGUCCAUGCCGUAAACGAUGAAUGCUAGGUGUUGGAGGGUUUCCGUCCUUCAGUGCCGCAGCUAACGCAUUAAGCAUUCCGCCUGGGGAGUACGACCGCAAGGUUGAAACUCAAAGGAAUUGACGGGGGCCCGCACAAGCGGUGGAGCAUGUGGUUUAAUUCGAAGCAACGCGAAGAACCUUACCAGGUCUUGACAUCUUUUGAUCACCUGAGAGAUCAGGUUUCCCCUUCGGGGGCAAAAUGACAGGUGGUGCAUGGUUGUCGUCAGCUCGUGUCGUGAGAUGUUGGGUUAAGUCCCGCAACGAGCGCAACCCUUAUGACUAGUUGCCAGCAUUUAGUUGGGCACUCUAGUAAGACUGCCGGUGACAAACCGGAGGAAGGUGGGGAUGACGUCAAAUCAUCAUGCCCCUUAUGACCUGGGCUACACACGUGCUACAAUGGAUGGUACAACGAGUUGCGAGACCGCGAGGUCAAGCUAAUCUCUUAAAGCCAUUCUCAGUUCGGACUGUAGGCUGCAACUCGCCUACACGAAGUCGGAAUCGCUAGUAAUCGCGGAUCAGCACGCCGCGGUGAAUACGUUCCCGGGCCUUGUACACACCGCCCGUCACACCAUGAGAGUUUGUAACACCCGAAGCCGGUGGCGUAACCCUUUUAGGGAGCGAGCCGUCUAAGGUGGGACAAAUGAUUAGGGUG